rnacentral:rRNA from 1 species
ACGGGCUUCGGUCUGGUGGCGUGUGGCGAACGGGUGAGUAAAGUAUCGGAACGUACCUUUCAGUGGGGGAUAACGUAGCGAAAGUUACGCUAAUACCGCAUAUUCUGUGAGCAGGAAAGCAGGGGAUCGCAAGACCUUGCGCUGAUUGAGCGGCCGAUAUCAGAUUAGCUAGUUGGUGGGGUAAAGGCCUACCAAGGCGACGAUCUGUAGCGGGUCUGAGAGGAUGAUCCGCCACACUGGAACUGAGACACGGUCCAGACUCCUACGGGAGGCAGCAGUGGGGAAUUUUGGACAAUGGGGGCAACCCUGAUCCAGCCAUGCCGCGUGAGUGAAGAAGGCCUUCGGGUUGUAAAGCUCUUUCGGCCGGGAAGAAAUCGCAUGGGCUAAUACCCUGUGUGGAUGACGGUACCGGAAUAAGAAGCACCGGCUAACUACGUGCCAGCAGCCGCGGUAAUACGUAGGGUGCGAGCGUUAAUCGGAAUUACUGGGCGUAAAGCGUGCGCAGGCGGUUUAGUAAGACAGGCGUGAAAUCCCCGGGCUCAACCUGGGAACUGCGCUUGUGACUGCUAAGCUAGAGUAC